rnacentral:lncRNA from 1 species
AGAAGGCUGCACGGCUUGUUUAAUGAAUUGGGGCUUGCGUGAUGAAAUGGUUCGUCAGGCAACGUUACCAAAGUCGUCGAACAAAUGUUAUUCAUCGGACAAAUUCACUAAAAAAACGUCAGACAAAAUGUGUUGGUAGGGAUUAGGGCAGGUCAUCGUGGUUCUUUGUCCGACGACCGACAUACUUACCCCCGUCAAUUUUCCAUCAGCCAAAGUUACCUCCGCCGAUGUACCUAUUCUUCUGUCAGGAUGCUGGCGUAAUUCGUGCCAAUUUUCUCUCUUGGCACAAAAA